GGAGAAGCUGUGCAUUUAGCCGAAUCGUCGCUGCUGAACUGCUGCUGUGCCGCCAUCAAGUCUGAGUUGAGGAAAGGAGACGUGGAGUCGGCGUCGCCCGGAGAGAAACGCGAAUGGCAAGGAGAAGCAAAACGCAUGGUGGGGAGGCUUUCCUUGCCGCUGCCGCCACUGGAAUCAUGAACCAAGGUGGAGGAGAAGGCCGUCUUCCCCAUUGCUGCUAUAAUCGUCCGUGCUGCUACCGGUGCUUCUUUGUUCUGUUAUUCCUUUCUAAUUCUUAAUUAUUAUUCUACCCAAUAUGAAUUCAUUGUUUUGCUCACUGUCGUGGCCAACUCGCGUUGCUGCUGCCCUGUCAAAGCUGUUGUGAGUGUUGCUAACAUUGGCGGAUAAGGGAUGAAGGAGCUGCUGCAUUUUGUGUGCAGCCCAACCGGUCAUCCCACCAUAAUUCCGUCUUCAGUUUUUGUGAAAUUUGAUAUCCAGUGACACAGGUUUGAAGACGCAAUUUGAAGCUGCGAGCAAUUAGUAGGUUUCCUUUAUGGUUUUAAUUGCUUUUAUAGAGUCCCCUCGCUAUUGUCCAUUGAGAUUUUUAUUUCAUAUAGAGGGGUAGGUUUGGUAUAUUAUAUUUGAGUUUCAUUUGGUUUCUUUUGUAUAAGAAUUAUUAUCAAUAAUAUUUAUGUGAUUAUUAUUAUUUGUAAACGUUUGAAUUAUGACUUUAAUGAAAUAAAAAAAUUUUUGGAAUUUUCUUAAAACUGAAACGCGAACUCGAUACAAAGGCUCGAUAAUUAAGUAGUUAAUACUAGAGAAGGUUACGUAAUGUUCUUUCUAGUAGAAAUACCCUGAAUUAAGCAAGGUAUUUUGCUGAACGGGACGUUAUAAUAUGGUAU